UCCCUCACUACUGAGGAUCGCGACCACAU
rnacentral:sRNA from 1 species